rnacentral:rRNA from 1 species
GGGAGUUUGAUCAUGGCUCAGGAUGAACGCUAGCGGCAGGCUUAACACAUGCAAGUCGAGGGGUAUUCUAGCAAUAGGAGAGACCGGCGCACGGGUGCGUAACGCGUAUGCAAUCUACCUUUCACAGAGGGAUAGCCCAGAGAAAUUUGGAUUAAUACCUCAUAGUAUAAUGACUCGGCAUCGAGAUAUUAUUAAAGUCACAACGGUGAAAGAUGAGCAUGCGUCCCAUUAGCUAGUUGGUAAGGUAACGGCUUACCAAGGCGACGAUGGGUAGGGGUCCUGAGAGGGAGAUCCCCCACACUGGUACUGAGACACGGACCAGACUCCUACGGGAGGCAGCAGUGAGGAAUAUUGGACAAUGGGCGCAAGCCUGAUCCAGCCAUGCCGCGUGCAGGAUGACGGUCCUAUGGAUUGUAAACUGCUUUUGCACAGGAAGAAACACCCCCUCGUGAGGGGGCUUGACGGUACUGUGAGAAUAAGGAUCGGCUAACUCCGUGCCAGCAGCCGCGGUAAUACGGAGGAUCCAAGCGUUAUCCGGAAUCAUUGGGUUUAAAGGGUCCGUAGGCGGUUUAGUAAGUCAGUGGUGAAAGCCCAUCGCUCAACGGUGGAACGGCCAUUGAUACUGCUAGACUUGAAUUAUUAGGAAGUAACUAGAAUAUGUAGUGUAGCGGUGAAAUGCUUAGAGAUACAUGGAAUACCAUUGCGAAGGCAGGUACUACUAUAUAUGACGCU